rnacentral:rRNA from 1 species
AUCACAUUGAAACACUGGUUCCUGUAUGAUCACUGAAGUUAAGCAACAUCAAGCCUGGUCAGUACCUAGAUGGGUGACUGCUUGCGAAUACCAGGUGCUGUAAU